GAUGAACGCUGGCGGCGUGCCUAACACAUGCAAGUCGAACGGGAAUUACUUUUUAGCUCGCUAAGUUGUAAUUCGUGGCGGACGGGUGAGUAACGCGUGAGCAACCUGCCUCAGAGUGGGGGACAACAGCUGGAAUUUACUGCUAAUACCGCAUAAGCGCACAGUCUCGCAUGAGACAGUGUGAAAAACUCCGGUGGUAUAAGAUUGGACCCGCGUCUGAUUAGCCAGUUGGCGGUGUAACGGACCACCAAAGCGACGAUCAGUAGCCGGCCUGAGAGGGUGAACGGCCACAUUGGGACUGAGACACGGCCCAAACUCCUACGGGAGGCAGCAGUGGGGAAUAUUGCACAAUGGAGGAAACUCUGAUGCAGCGACGCCGCGUGAGUGAAGAAGUAUUUCGGUAUGUAAAGCUCUAUCAGCAGGAAAGAAAAUGACGGUACCUGACUAAGAAGCCCCGGCUAACUACGUGCCAGCAGCCGCGGUAAUACGUAUGGGGCAAGCGUUAUCCGGGAUUUACUGGUGUAAAGGGAGCGUAGACGGAAUGGGCAAGUCUGAUGUGAAAGCCGGGCUUCAACCCCCGGGACUGCAUUGGUAACCUUGUUCAAGGCUUAAAAUGUGCCAAGGGAAGGGGGUUUAUGACCGGAAAAUUUUAUUCUUA
rnacentral:rRNA from 1 species